GAUGAACGCUGGCGGCGUGCCUAAUACAUGCAAGUCGAGCGAAUGGAUUGAGAGCUUGCUCUUAUGAAGUUAGCGGCGGACGGGUGAGUAACACGUGGGUAACCUGCCCAUAAGACUGGGAUAACUCCGGGAAACCGGGGCUAAUACCGGAUAACAUUUUGAACCGCAUGGUUCGAAAUUGAAAGGCGGCUUCGGCUGUAACUUAUGGAUGGACCCGCGUCGCAUUAGCUAGUUGGGGAGGUAACGGCUCACCAAGGCAACGAUGCGUAGCCGACCUGAGAGGGUGAUCGGCCACACUGGGACUGAGACACGGCCCAGACUCCUACGGGAGGCAGCAGUAGGGAAUCUUCCGCAAUGGACGAAAGUCUGACGGAGCAACGCCGCGUGAGUGAUGAAGGCUUUCGGGUCGUAAAACUCUGUUGUUAGGGAAGAACAAGUGCUAGUUGAAUAAGCUGGCACCUUGACGGUACCUAACCAGAAAGCCACGGCUAACUACGUGCCAGCCGCCGCCGUAA
rnacentral:rRNA from 1 species